rnacentral:rRNA from 1 species
UUGACCUCGGAUCAGGUAGGAAUACCCGCUGAACUUAAGCAUAUCAAUAAGCGGAGGAAAAGAAACCAACAGGGAUUGCCCUAGUAACGGCGAGUGAAGCGGCAACAGCUCAAAUUUGAAAUCUGGCUCUCGGGCCCGAGUUGUAAUUUGUAGAGGAUGCUUUUGGUGCGGUGCCUUCCGAGUUCCCUGGAACGGGACGCCAUAGAGGGUGAGAGCCCCGUCUGGUCGGA